rnacentral:lncRNA from 1 species
UGGGCUCUGACAGCAGCUAUGUCUCUCCCAUCUAUAGCCUCCUCCACACUUCUGACUCUUCAGGGACUCCAGAGAUGCCAAAUCUUCCCCCAGAUUCAGGAACUUUGUUGUUCAAUUAAAUGGAGAGCUUGUGCAUUUCAAUGAGACAAACGUUGCUAGCAAGAGGUAAAGACAACUGGGAACACCAAGAGGCAUGGCAUGAGAUGGUCAUAGUCAGAAGCUCCGUCAAAUGGCAAACACUUUUAAAUCUCUAAUAUGUGGUAGGUACUUUCCUAAGAGCUUUACAUGAAACGUCUUAUUUAAUCUUCACCAAAAUAAAUAAAGUAGACACUGCCAUUAUUAACAUUGUACAGACCAGGAAAUGGAGACACAGAGAAACUUGACAAGCUGAAAGUGAUGGAACCAGUACCCAGGAAAGAAAAGCCCAGUACCCCUUUUUAAUGACUGUCUGUGUUUCAUGGCAUGUUUUUCCCAUAUAUCUCCUUGAUUUUGAUGCUUCACCCAAAUUAUCUCUCCCAGGCCAGUGUACCAUUCCCCAGCUGCUAUGAGAGUUGACUACGAACUGCUCACAGUUGUCUUUUCCAGAGAACUGUCUCUGACCAAUGGGGGUCACCUUGGGCAAGAAUGCCUAGGAGUUAUGCCGCUUCUUCCCCCUUCAGAUGGGAGGGUAGCAGCUUGUAACUAAUAAUAGACUGAAAGGGGAGCACAAAGGCCUGUUACUCAAGGUGACCAGUGCUACAGUGCAUGUAUACACCAGAACUCUCCGUGGGAUCAGCCUAAGGCUUAGAGUUCAGCUGAAGUUACUGUUUUGUUUGACUCCUUCCUCUGUCCCAUCUUGCUUCUCUUAGUCCCUUUCUUCUGAAUGCCCUUCCUCAAUCAUUCACUUGCACAAGAAUCUGCAUCCCAGGCUCUGCUUCUAGGGACUCUGAGCUAGGACAGACCUUAUUUCACCCUUUAGGGUUUACACUCAAUAUCACCUCUCCAGGUUUGCUAUUUUUUUUCCAUUUUAAUUACAGUUCAGGAUCCCCUUGGCUUCACUUCCUUUAGCUUUAAAUUAAGAUAUCCCACCUGGUCCAACCCAAAUACCAGAACGUCUUACCUCCAUGAAUACCACCUACCUGAGGAAUUCAAUAAACACUUAUGGACCAAAAGAAGAGUAUCAAAUUCAACCAGUCACAUAUUAUAAUAACAAUAAUAACAGCAGCAGAAAGUGCCUCCUUGAGACUAGCUGAACUUAUCAAAUAAGAAAAUGCUGGCUUGGGAACUGUGACUCACACCUACAAUCCUAGCACUUUGAGAGGCCAACCUAGGAGGAUUGCUUAAGGCCAGGAGUUCAAGACCAACCUGGACAACAUAGCAAAAAUUAGCCCAGUGUGGUGGUGUGUGUCUGUAAUUUCAACUACUUGUGAGGUAGGAAGAUUGAUUGAACUUAGGAGUUUGAGGCUGCAGUGAGCUAUGAUUCUACAGCUGCCCUCCAACCUGGACAAGAGAUGAGACACUGCCUCUAAAAAAAAAAACAAAGAAAAGAAAACUAUAAAUCAAAUGCUGGAGUCAUCAGAGAGAACAUACAGUCAACUCAUAAGGAUUAGUUUAUGCCUUCAAAAACUUGUGUUAGGUCCAGUGGGGAAAAAAAUCACUAGUCUCUGUGUCUACUGGGGGAUCUCCAACUCAUCCUUGAAGACUUGGAUCAAUACCCCUUUUUUUUCUGUAAAUCUCAACAUAAGCUCCUCUCCCAUCCCACCAAGACUGAGCUGACUGAAUCUCCUUUACAGAAGACAACACCUGGUACCCAUUAUAAUGUCUUUUAUAAUGCUUGCCACACUGUACAACAAUUUUGUUGGCACCUUUUUCCUCCUUGCUUAUCUGUGAGCCCUUGACGCCAGCAGCCAUGUUUAUUAUUGCUCUAUCUAUACCCCAUCAAGCAUGCAACCCAUAAAAAAUAACAAAUAUCUAUUUGUAAAAUGCCUGAAUGAUAGUGGAGAACAAGCAGGACUGGAACCAGCUCCAGAAUCACAUAAAGCUUCAUUCUCAUGGACUUUACUGCUUUUCUUAU